AUGACACUUGCUGAAGAAAGAGAAAUGGAAAUGGUGAAAAAUGGCUUAACGUAUGUAAAUGGAGAUGAGCACUGUGAGGAACCACACUGGCAUGCUGAAUACCCAUGGACAGAGGAUCCAGCUUCCCUGCCAAAUAACAGAAGGGCUGUCGAAGCAACAUUCCUCAGGACAGAAAAACAGCUGGCAAAGGAACCAAAAUGGAAAGUGGCCUAUACAGCGCAAGUGCAUGACAUGGUCCAUCGCAAAGCAGCAGUAAAGUUGUCAAAUGAGGUGAUUGAAAGCUGGACUGGGCCAGUGUGGUACAUCAGCCACCUAAUUGCUCCAAAUCCUCACUCUGUCACAACUCCAGUUAGGCUAGUCUGGAACAGCAGCCAAAAGUUUCGAGGUUUGAGCUUGAAUGACCUGCUGCUCAAAGGUCCAGAUGUGCUCAACCCCAUUCGUGCUGUCCUGUUGAGGUUUCGAGCUGGAGUCUUUGCUGCCUUGGGUGACAUACGGAAAAUGUAUAACUCUGUCUGGCUGGAAGACCGAGAAGUCCAUCUGCACAGAUUCCUCUGGCGUGACUCUGGAGAAGAUGAAAUUGAAGAAUAUGCCAUAACAAGGGUAAAUAUUGGAGACAAGCCAGCAGGCUGUAUUGCUCAACUGGCCAUGCGAGAGACUGCAAAUCUACCCAUAUUCAGUCACCUUAAGGAAGAGCGACGUGUGCUGCAAGAAGAUGCUUAUGUUGACGACAUCCUGACUUCCCACAACAGCAUGGAUCAACUGAAGGUCAUCACAUUGAAUGUUGAGCAGAUCCUAAAAGCUGGUGGAUUCCACAUAAAGCCCUGGGUCUACUCCGAUCAAAGUGGGAGGAAAGAGUCCAGAGACAAGAAUACUGAGCCGAAGACUAUGUUCUUACCAAAUCAGCUUACAGAAGAUGACAAUAAAGCCCUUGGCCUUGGAUAUACUAUACAAGACGACAAGCUCCACAUCAUGAUUGCUGUGAAUUUCUCAAAGAAGAGAAGGAAAAUGAGACUUGGCAAAGAUUUAUUAAAAGGGCAGGUGAGAUCACAAGUGCCAAAUCCACUCACCAGAAGAGAAUUACUGAGUCAAGUCUCAGGGCUGUAUGAUCCACUAGGUUUGGUGACUCCGGCCAAACAAAAAGGUGCAAUUUUGGUGCGAAGAGCCUUUCAAGAGGCCAAGGUUAUCUACGGCCCAACUAAGGAUACCUGGGAUGCAGCUUUGUCAGAGGGUCUCCGGGAGGAUGCAAUCAAGCUUCUGGAAGAGUAUGUGGAGCUGGGACAAGUAAAGUUCAUCCGACCCCUGACACCUCUAGACACCGCCACUGAACCCAUUGGUGUCACUUUCUCUGAUGGCAGUGAACAGGCAUAUGGAGCAGUGUUGUAUUUGCGUUGGAGCUGCAGUCAAGGUAUAACUGUGAGGCUUGUUGAAUCUAAGGCCAAACUAACCCCUCUCGACCAUAAGGGCGAUGCCGUAAAAGCAGAGGUGUGCGGAGCUGUCUUUGCUGCCCGAUUAAAAAAAUACUUCCAAAGACAUUGCAGGGUCCCAGUUGAGAAGUGGUAUCAUCUUGUUGAUAGUCAGACCGUCUUAGGAGCAGUGCAGCGUGAAAGUUAUGGUUACCAAACCUUCUUCGCGAAUCGAAUUGGAGAGAUUCAAGGCAGCACCAACGUCCAGGAUUGGUGGUGGGUUCCAGGGCAAAUUAAUAUUGCAGACAUCAUCACGAGAGGAGCUGGCCCAAAAGAUUUGGGUGAAGACUCUGAGUGGCAGUCAGGUCCAAAGUUCCUCCGUUUAUCAGUGAAUGAGUGGCCAAUUAAAUCCGCUAAAGAUGUUGCUGCUGCAGCCAGAGAAAACAUCACUAAGAUCCAGAAGAAAGCUUUUGUUGCCGCACUUACCAGGGCUCAAUUGAAGAAACAAGAGGUGGAAGAAAAUCAGAGUUUAAUCCAGACGGAGCCGAGUAGACCACCUGGUGGAACAGUAGUUCAAGAGUUAAUUGAUGUGAAAAGAUUCAGCAAUCUAACACGGCUGAUCAAGACGGUGGCAUUGGUCUGGAGAGCUGGAAAGAGGUUUCUUCAAGCCAACAAAAUGGACAAACUAAAGUGGGAGGCGGUAUCAUCAGCUGGUAUUAUCACUCUCAAAGAAAGAGAAGAUGCAUUCAGGGACCUCUGCCUAGCAGUGCAAAAAGAUGUUGUCUUCUCAAACACCACAAUAGAUCGACUGGUUGUCUACAGAGACAUGGCAACUGGACUUUUGGUGUGCGGUGGCAGAGUUCAAGUCUUUCAGGAAGACUUCAAAACCGUUCCCCUUUUGCCCUUUGAUGCCUGGAUUGCAACCUUGUUGGCUUGUGAAGCUCAUGACGAGGCACAUGAUGGAGUUGCGGGCACCUUGUUGAGGAUGAGAAGGAAAGCAUGGGUUUUGAGAGGAAGAAGAGUUGCCCAAAAAGUUGUUGACCGAUGCAUCUUCUGCAAAAAAGCAAAGGCCAGAGUAUGUCAACAAGUUAUGGGUAAACUACCUGAAGAGAGAACGAGACCUGCUGCACCAUUUGAGUUCAUAGCCAUUGAUCUGUUUGGACCCUACCAAGUCAAGGAUGAUGUCAAGAGAAGAGUGUCAAUGAAAGUUUGGGGAGUUGUCUUUUGCUGUAUGGCAAGUAGAGCUAUUCAUGUAGAGCUGGCCAAUACUCUUUCUACAGAGAGCUUUCUAUUGGCAUACCAGAGGUUUACGGCAGUUAGAGGUCAUCCCCGAAAGGUCUGGUCAGACCCAGGAACCAAUUUCAUUGGUGCAAAACCUGUACUAAAGGAUCUGUAUGCUUUUCUGGAAAGUCAAAAUAAAGCAACUUUAGAGGAGUAUGCAGUUAAAAAUGGAACACAGUUUGCCUGGAAAGUGCAUCCAGCUGAUUCACCACACCGAAAUGGAGCUGCGGAAGCUGCAGUGCGUGUUACGAAGAAAGCUCUCCAAAGUCUUGAGAAAGGGUCGGACCUUACUUUCAGUGAGUUCUUAACAGCACUUCAACUAGCUGCCAAUCUUGUAAACGAGCGUCCUAUUGAUGCAAGAGUUCAGAGCCGGGAAGGCUGCAUACAAUAUGUCACGCCAAAUUCACUACUGCUUGGUCGAGCCACACAGACAGGGGAUUACAAGACAUUCGACUUUGCCAACUACCCCUAUAAAAGGCUGCGAGAGAUACAAACCCAAGUCAAUUGCUUUUGGAGAUCCUGGAGCCAACUUGCUGGUCCAAACCUGUUUGUGAGGAACAAGUGGCAUACAGCAGAGAGGAACGUUGCCGUUGGAGACAUCGUGUGGCUAUGCGAUCAAAAUGUGCUAAGAGGCCAGUUUAAGCUUGGAAGAGUCAUCAGUAUAAACUCUGAUCCAAGGGGCAUCGUAAGGGAUGUAAAUGUUCGGGUGUCUCCAAACUAUUCUGUUCCGGUCCAGAAUUCAACGGUCAAAGAAUCUGUAUCCUGUGAAGGGAAGAGGGUCUGUCAAGGUACUGUGCUGCAUAGAGACGUUAGACGCCUUGUUGUUCUUCUUCCGAUCGAAGAGCAAAUGAGGGUUGAGUAA
ensembl:lncRNA